CCUACGGGUGGCAGCAGUAGGGAAUAUUGCGCAAUGGGGGAAACUCUGACCCAGCAACGCCGCGUGGAUGAUGAAGGUCUUAGGAUUGUAAAGUUCUUUUCUAAGGGAAGAAGAAAGUGGCGGUACCUUAAUAAUCAGCCGCGGCUAACUACGUGCCAGCCGCGGCGGUACUACGUAGGAGGCGAGCGUUAUCCGGAAUGACUGGGCGUAAGGGGUGCGUAGGUGGGUUGGUAAGUUAGUAGAGUAAUCCCACGGCUUAACUUUGGAACUACUAUUAAUACUGUUGGACUGGAGUGCAGGAGGGGUAACUGGAAUUCUUGGUGUAGCGGUAGAAUGCGUAGAGAUCAGGAGGAAUACCAGUUGCGAAGGCGGGUUGCUGGACCGUAACUGACGCUGAGGCACGAAAGCGUGGGGAGCAAACAGGAUUAGAUACCCGGGUAGUC
rnacentral:rRNA from 1 species